UGGGGAAUAUUGGACAAUGGGGGCAACCCUGAUCCAGCAAUGCCGCGUGUGUGAAGAAGGUCUUCGGAUUGUAAAGCACUUUCGACGGGGACGAUGAUGACGGUACCCGUAGAAGAAGCCCCGGCUAACUUCGUGCCAGCAGCCGCGGUAAUACGAAGGGGGCUAGCGUUGCUCGGAAUGACUGGGCGUAAAGGGCGUGUAGGCGGUUUACACAGUCAGAUGUGAAAUCCCCGGGCUUAACCUGGGAGCUGCAUUUGAUACGUGUAGACUAGAGUGUGAGAGAGGGUUGUGGAAUUCCCAGUGUAGAGGUGAAAUUCGUAGAUAUUGGGAAGAACACCGGUGGCGAAGGCGGCAACCUGGCUCAUGACUGACGCUGAGGCGCGAAAGCGUGGGGAGCAAACAGGUUAGAUACCCUGGUAGUCCACGCUGUAAACGAUGUGUGCUAGAUGUUGGGUAACUUUGUUAUUCAGUGUCGCAGUUAACGCGUUAAGCA
rnacentral:rRNA from 1 species